GGGAAUUUUCCGCAAUGGGCGAAAGCCUGACGGAGCAAUGCCGCGUGGAGGUGGAAGGCCUACGGGUCGUCAACUUCUUUUCUCGGAGAAGAAACAAUGACGGUAUCUGAGGAAUAAGCAUCGGCUAACUCUGUGCAAG
rnacentral:rRNA from 1 species